AUACGGAGGAUCCGAGCGUUAUCCGGAUUUAUUGGGUUUAAAGGGUGCGCAGGCGGGAGAUUAAGUCGGCGGUGAAAUUUUGCAGCUCAACUGUAAAAGUGCCUUCGAAACUGGUUUCCUUGAGUGUAGAUGAAGUAGGCGGAAUUUGUGGUGUAGCGGUGAAAUGCAUAGAUAUCACGAGGAACUCCGAUUGCGCAGGCAGCUUACUAAACUACUACUGACGCUCAGGCACGAAGGCGUGGGGAUCAAACAGGAUUAGAUACCCUGGUAGUCCACGCAGUAAACGAUGAUUACUAGCUGUUUGCGAUACAAUGUAAGCGGCUGAGCGAAAGCGUUAAGUAAUCCACCUGGGGAGUACGUUCGCAAGAAUGAAACUCAAAUGAAUUGACGGGG
rnacentral:rRNA from 1 species